AACGAACGCUGGCGGCAUGCCUAACACAUGCCAGUCGAACGAGACCUUCGGGUCUAGUGGCGCACGGGUGCGUAACGCGUGGGAACCUGCCCUUAGGUUCGGAAUAACUCCCCGAAAGGGGUGCUAAUACCGGAUAAUGUCUUCGGACCAAAGAUUUAUCGCCUUUGGAUGGGCCCGCGUUGGAUUAGCUAGUUGGUAGGGUAAAAGCCUACCAAGGCGACGAUCCAUAGCUGGUCUGAGAGGAUGAUCAGCCACACUGGGACUGAGACACGGCCCAGACUCCUACGGGAGGGAGCAGUGGGGAAUAUUGGACAAGGGGCGAAAGCCUGAUCCAGCAAUGCCGCGUGAGUGAUGAAGGCCUUAGGGUUGUAAAGCUCUUUUACCCGGGAUGAUAAUGACAGUACCGGGAGAAUAAGCUCCGGCUAACUCCGUG
rnacentral:rRNA from 1 species